rnacentral:rRNA from 1 species
GUGAAGCCUGCGGUUCAAUUGGAGUCAACGCCAGGAAACUUACCAGGAGAGACAGCAGAUUGAGGGUCAGGCUGAAGACCUUACCUGACGAGCUGAGAGGAGGUGCAUGGCCGUCGCCAGCUCGUGCCGUGAGGCGUCCUGUUAAGUCAGGCAAUGAGCGAGACCCCUAUCGGUAAUUGCUAACUGCUCAGAGAUGGGUAGAGGCUAGUUACAGAGACUGCCGCUGCUAAAGCGGAGGAAGGAAGGGGCCACGGCAGGUCAGUAUGCCCCGAAACUCCUGGGCCACACGCGGGCUGCAAUGGUAGGGACAAUAGGCUCCGACCUCGAAAGAGGAAGGCAAUCCCGAAACCCUACCCCAGUUGUGAUCGAGGAUUGAAACCCGUCCUCGUGAAUAUGGAAUCCCUAGUAACCGCGUGUCAUCACCGCGCGGUGAAUACGUCCCUGCUCCUUGC